UCUGCUCUUUGGGUGAUCGCCCAGCACCUUUUUGGCCACUCGCGGUAUACCGCCACUGAACUUCAGUGGUGAGCGUACCCCUCACGCCAAAAAGGUGCUGGGAGGAACGUCCGGGCUUCACAGGAACGCCAUGCGGGUAACGCCCGCCGCGGCGGCACAUAACCCAUCUCUGAUGGAAAAAGGCCGCCGUAGGACCAGUGUCACAGAGACGAGUCCCGCCCUCAAAAGUGGGAGUGCAACGCCCCGGGAACCGGGGAUCCUGGAUAUGUCAGAGCCGAGCCCUAAAGGCUACGGCGCUGUCCAACCGGAUUGGUAAACUCUUGGUGAAGCAAGGAGGAUUUGGGUGCGCGUAAUCUGCUUUGGUUCCAAAGUACCGCACACCCCUCCGCUCGAGCCCGUGAGCAAUUGCGGGCCUAGAUAGAUGAUCGCCUCCCCCGCACCUUUUUUUCUUCCUCACGGUAACCAUCCGUACGCAAUGCCCUUGGUUACUCCCAGGAACGAAAAUAGGUGCGGGGCAGACAAGACCCGGCGUACAGAAGAGCAGCAAGA
rnacentral:RNase_P_RNA from 1 species